CAGUCGCCGCGGGAAUACGAAGGGGGCUAGCGUUGUUCGGAAUCACUGGGCGUAAAGCGCACGUAGGCGGACUUUUAAGUCAGGGGUGAAAUCCCAAGGCUCAACCUUGGAACUGCCUUUGAUACUGGAAGUCUUGAGUUCGGGAGAGGUGAGUGGAACUGCGAGUGUAGAGGUGAAAUUCGUAGAUAUUCGCAAGAACACCAGUGGCGAAGGCGGCUCACUGGCCCGAUACUGACGCUGAGGUGCGAAAGCGUGGGGAGCAAACAGGAUUAGAUACCCGCGUAGUCCCUGUCUCUUAUAU
rnacentral:rRNA from 1 species